rnacentral:rRNA from 1 species
AGCGGCGGAUGGGUGAGUAACACGUGGGGAACCUGCCCCUAAGUCUGGGAUACCAUUUGGAAACAGGUGCUAAUACCGGAUAAUAAAGCAGAUCGCAUGAUCAGCUUUUGAAAGGCGGCGUAAGCUGUCGCUAAGGGAUGGCCCCGCGGUGCAUUAGCUAGUUGGUAAGGUAACGGCUUACCAAGGCGACGAUGCAUAGCCGAGUUGAGAGACUGAUCGGCCACAUUGGGACUGAGACACGGCCCAAACUCCUACGGGAGGCAGCAGUAGGGAAUCUUCCACAAUGGACGCAAGUCUGAUGGAGCAACGCCGCGUGAGUGAAGAAGGUUUUCGGAUCGUAAAGCUCUGUUGUUGGUGAAGAAGGAUAGAGGUAGUAACUGGCCUUUAUUUGACGGUAAUCAACCAGAAAGUCACGGCUAACUACGUGCCAGCAGCCGCGGUAAUACGUAGGUGGCAAGCGUUGUCCGGAUUUAUUGGGCGCAAAGCGAGCGCAGGCGGAAAAAUAAGCCUAAUGUGAAAGCCCUCGGCUUAACCGAGGAACUGCAUCGGAAACUGUUUUUCUUGAGUGCAGAAGAGGAGAGUGGAACUCCAUGUGUAGCGGUGGAAUGCGUAGAUAUAUGGAAGAACACCAGUGGCGAAAGGCGGCUCUCUGGUCUGCAACUGACGCUGAGGCUCGAAAGCAUGGGUAGCGAACAGGAUUAGAUACCCCGGUAGUCCAUGCCGUAAACGAUGAGUG